AAAACAAGCGAGCAUAAAUCAUCGGCCCUUUUUUUCUAUAUCUUGCCAGUCCUAUUCUGGUGUGGUGAGCAUCAUCAGCGCACCCGUAUACGCUUUCCCUCGAUCACUUCGUUCUUUCUAUUGUCUCUGUUCCUUUGCUCUGUUAUCUCUGAGAGAAAGAAAACAUGUCGGGGGGUAACGCCGGCGACGCCAUGAUCGGCCGUGUGUGCCGGAACUUCCCAGACACGUUUGCCAAGGACGAGGCAACGGCACGUGAGCAGGACAAGAAGUACUGGAUUAGCCGCGUGCUGGGCUCCGGCGCCACUGGAACGGUUCUGUGCGCGAAGCGCGUAUCUGAUGGCGAAGGAUUUGCCGUCAAGUGCGUUGACAUGGAGGGCAUGUCCGAGGCCGACAAAAACCGUGCGCAGGCAGAGGUGGACUGCCUGCUGAACUGCGACUUCUUUUCGAUUGUCAAAUGCCACGAGGACCUGGCGAAGCGCGAUGCCAACAACCCAGAAAUGGUGCAGAUGAUUGCACUGGUGCUGGACUACGCCAACGCCGGUGAUCUCCGCCAAGAGAUCAAGAGCCGCGCCCGGACGGGUCGAACGUUCCGCGAGCAUGAAGCAGGUCUGCUGUUCCUACAGGUGCUGCUGGCCGUCCACCACGUCCACUCGAAGCACAUGAUUCACCGUGAUAUCAAGAGUGCCAAUAUCCUGCUGUGCAGCAACGGUCUCGUGAAGCUGGGCGACUUCGGUUUUAGCAAGAUGUAUGCAAAUACUGUGAGCGACGAUGUCGGCCGCACGUUCUGUGGCACCCCCUACUACGUGGCACCGGAGAUUUGGCGGCGCUGUCCGUACAGCAAGAAGGCGGACAUGUUCUCGCUCGGCGUGCUUCUUUACGAGCUGCUCACGCUGAAGCGUCCCUUCGACGGCGCCAAUAUGCACGAGGUCAUGCACAAGACACUUGCUGGCCGCUUCGACCCCCUUCCGAGCAAUAUUAGCCCAGAGAUGCGCGAUAUCGUGACAGCGCUGCUGAGCGGUGACCCGGGGCGCCGCCCAUCGAGCAGUCGGCUGCUGAACAUGCCCAUCUGCAAACUCUUCCUGUCUGGCUUGCUGGAGAUUGUGCAGACCCAACCGGCUUUUCAGGGUGGUCUGCGCGACUCGAUCUCGAACCAGAUUCAGGAGACGAAGCGGCUGCUAGUGACAGAGAAGCGCCACAUCCAGCGCAUGAUGGAGGAGAGCUCGGGCAGCUCUGUGGCCGCGUCUACUACGAUUCUCGAAGGCGCAACCCCACUCACAACGACGCUCGGCGGCCUCACGAUUCACGAGGGAACCGUGAAGAAGCAGAGCAGCGACAUGGUAUGGAAAAAGCGCUAUCUGUGCAUCCGCGCCGAGCUCGCAGACGGCCAGACAGUGCUCGAUAUGAACCCCAAGUUCAAGACCUUGGACAUGGUGCUGGCCAUAUCGAAGGAGACAAUGGAGCAGCAGUGCAUUUCCACGCCCUUCACGGAGCUGGAGGACGCCUUUCCGGUGCCUGCUAAAUAUACUGGCUGCAACGCCUCCUUUGUCUUCGCCGUCGCUUUCAAGACUGGAAAGCGCCUGUCGUUCCAGACGAAGAGCGAGGUAGAGCGCGACCUUUGGAUGGAAAAAAUUCAGGACGUUUUGGGCAUUGGCGACGGCGACGAUGACGACAUGUCUGCUCUACCCGCAAAGGAGUGAGUCCGACUCUACAACGUACAGCAGAAAAGGAUGCGACAACACAAGAAGCGGGAUGGCAGCAGGCAGAGUUCCGGCACGGUGCGCUGCAGGCAACUGACCGAGCGGCUGGCGCGUUGAUUUCUCCCUUCCUUUGGUGAUCUUCUUCCUCUUCGCGGCAUAUUGUGCCGAGCCGUUCGCGCACGCCGAGUGGCAAAGCGCGUUUGCGAUGUGGCGGCACCCUUUGCGUGCUGGUCCUCUGUGCGCGCAUCUGUCGGUAGGUUUCGCUCGGUGCGCGGCUUGCGAGAUACCGAAUGGCUCGGUAGUGGACGAGGGCCCCGCUGCUUCUCCUGUCUCUUCACGUUUAUGUAGAUACACGCCUUUCUUUUUUUCGUUUACUUUUUUUUUCUCGCGCGCGUGUGUGUGUGUGUGUGUGUGCUUGUGGCGACAACCCGGCCCACCCAGCCCCCUCUCAAUCUCUCGCUCUCACCCUCCUGUCUUUAUCUGUCAUGUCCACGUACUUCACGGUUGUGAUGUGUGGAGUGUAUGCUUGUUCGGCACUUUGAGGUACGCGCGUCUGUGUCUGUGUGACUGUGCGUGUGCACGUCCUUGUCCCCCAUUUUUCGUUCUUCUAUUUUGAUUUUCGUGGCCCUUACAUUUGUUUUUCUGCGUGUUCCAUCUUGAUCGGGUGACAGUGCUGAGAAUCUAGGUGAGGAAGGGUGAUGGCAGGGACGCGGAGGAAUGAUGCUUUGAUGGAACCCACGUGAUCGAGGCCGCUGCGGCCUUGGUGUUUUGGCUUUCUUAGUUGGCUGUGGCUUGUCUCCUCGUCCGUGUCACUCUGGCCUUCCCCUGCUUUCUCACUGUCUCUCCUAGAUGAUGUGUUUGACUUCCACUGAGCUGUGUCCUUUUUUCUCUCGUUCCCCCCUUGUUGGAGGGCUUGUAUUGCUUUGGCAUUCUGUUUUUGGCUUUCUCCCUCGCUCUUUCUCAUGUGAAAAGUGUUUUGUAAGUGAUGUAUACCAGCAGUCCACUGGCAGCAGCAACGACAGGACAGCGGCGAACCUGCUGCUCUCUCUUCCUCUUCCACUUUCUUCCGCGCAUGCACACACCCACACACGCACACACUACACGCUUGCACGCCUUGCCCGUGUGUGGGUGUGUGUAUGUGUUGUGUCUGCAGUUGCAUUUUCAGUGGCUGUUUGGUGGUAAUGGUCGUCUUUUUCCCGCCGUCGUCUUUCCUUCCACUCUCAUCACACCUUCCCCCUUUCCUUUACUGCCCCACCUCUUCCUCUCCGCCGCUUGUCUUGCAGCAGACUCCCUGACAGUAGUAGAUGCGCGCUUUUUUUUUGAGGUGGUGCGCUUGUCUGUUCGGGAGGAAUGUUCCUUUCAUGGACGCGGGCAUUAGGCGGAGAGAUAGGUGAACGAGGAAGGGGAAGGGAGAGAGAGCCCCCCCCCCCCCACACACACACAAAAGGGGGUGAGGGGCGUGUAUCAAUUCAUGAACUGUCCUUCCUCCUCGUUUUCCACGCUCCUUGCUCUCCCUGUGCUCUAUAGCUCCGCUGCUCUCUUUUUUUUUUCUGGAAGGUGCGAGAAGAGAAUGCCCGUCUCAGACAGUUCUGUUUCUGUUUUUGCUUUUUCCUUCUCAUGUUGCUCUUCCAAUUGAUUGUGUACUCCCGAGACAAGCGCCCCCUCCUCGCUUCCCUCCCCCCUUUCCUCUUCCCUCAGCCGUGCUUGGCUGCAACUUUCCGUCUCUUUUCUUCCUCUUCUGCUCAACUUUUCUCGGAACUGACACGGGUAGGGGCAGACUGGGGUACAGCUGCACCCUCCAGUGGAGCCAUGCAACAUGCAUCUUACGAGUUGAGAGGGGCAGAGGUCAGAAGACUACCAGCAAGCGGGCCACGCGUCUUCAUAUCCCAGAUGAGGAUCCCCUUGCCUGUGCGAGGUGGGAAGCAGAAGAGUCGGAUGGUGCCCGGCCUCGUUCGGCGCCCACACGCUCCUCUAAGAGAGACAAGCGAAAAUAAAACACGAGCAAAAGGUUGCGAAAAAAAAAGGAGGGCAGAGGAGUUGUCGCCGGCAAAAAAAAAAAAAACAGCAAAAGAAAGCCGCCGCGCGGGAGCUACAUGGCAGCAGAGGCGAGCAAAGAAGCCAUCGAGCGACUGUGCUUUUUUUUUGCUGUUUCCCACCAUCAGCGUUUUCUUUUUAUUGUUUGAUCCGUUUUUCUUUGUUGCUGUGUUGAGAGUGAGUUGUGUUGCUUCUGCAGCCGCAUUUUCAUGUUGUCUUUUUCGUCAAAGAUACGUUCUUGCUUUUAGGCUCCCUUCCUCCACCUUUUUCUUGUUUGGACACGACAAAUGCCUGAUGCGUGCGCACGUGCACGCCAUGGUGGCUCACUCUUUUCGUCGCCUUCCACACUACUUCCUCACUUCAUCUUGCACUACAUCACUAUAUUUUUUUCCAGCUGCGUGCCGACUCUCCAUGAGGACGGGGCGACACCUCAGUGCGUGGUGUCGCAGGGUCCAGCGCCCCCACGCAUUGCGUGCGGAAAAAGCCAAGCAGCCCCUCGCCCCUAUCCCCUGCCACUGCGGAGCCGCCUCUGGUGGUGGCCGAGCCAAGCGCCUACGGCGUAGCGGAGCCACAGCAAUGCAUCCCCGCUGAUGCCGGGCGGCCAUGUCCUGGUGAGCGUGGCGUCGCCGCGCCCUGCGGUCAGCGAACGCGUCCGUGCCGUUCAUGCGAUGGGCGGAGUGUGGAGGUGGCUCGAAAGGCAUCGCGCCCCCGCCCUCACACUGCCCACUGGUGUGGGGGUGCCCGAGCCCGGCCCCGUGGCGGGUGCACCGGGUGGCGACCGGCGCAACGGCCGCUGCUGUGUGAGUGUGUGUGUGUGUGAGCACUGUUCGACGCAGCGGCGGUGCCCGGGUGACUGGGUCGGCGCACGGCUGCAGGGCUUGCCCUACCGCUGCAUCUCCCCAUGCGCUGUGCCUGUGCCAGGACCGUUAGAGUUGGGCUCCUUUUGCAUGUCACAGAAUGAGCAUGUUGAAUAAAUCGGUGUUGGCCUUGUGAGGCCUGUGCGUAAGCCGCCAUGGGUACGGUGGUGAAGAGUACGUGUGCUGGUGUGGUGCUGACAUUCUAUGUGUACUUGCUAGUUUUCGUCUUCCCGGGACUUUCGGAGAGGCUGCGGGGAAUGUAUACGUUAGGUGUGUGUAUGCAUGUACAUAAGUGUGUGUGUGUGACCGUCAGCCGCAGAUGUGGCGGAUGGUGACGUCACACCCCGUCUGCUCCUGUUUCUGCCAUGGAAAUUUCCCUCGUCGUUGGUGCUUUCUGGAUCUCUUGUUCUCUUUUUAUUAUGGUGCUUCUUAUUUUUCUGUGUGUGCAUGUGUGUGCGUGUGUGGGUGGGUGUGUGGGCCGCCUAUCCCCUCUCUUUCCUUUCGCUCUCUCCUUUCGCUCUUCUUUGCGUGGUUUGUUGCUGUUACGGUUGUUGUUCGUCGUCGAUCUGUUUUUUUUUUUUGUUUGUAUUCCAGGUGCGAUGCUCUUGUUUUGACUCCUUUUCCCGUUAUUAUAGGUGUAUGUCAUAGUCAUUAUGUUUGAAGCGUAUGAAUGAUGCAUGGCAACAGCACAAGGUAAACACACACACGCACGCACACACACAC
rnacentral:misc_RNA from 1 species